GUCGAGAAUCUUUCACAAUGGGGGCAACCCUGAUGGAGCGACGCCGCGUGGAGGAUAAGGUCUUCGGAUUGUAAACUCCUGUCAUGCGUGAACAAGGUUGCUUGGUUAAUACCUGGGCAAAUUGAUGGUAACGCAAGAGGAAGAGACGGCUAACUCUGUGCCAGCAGCCGCGGUAAUACAGAGGUCUCAAGCGUUGUUCGGAAUCACUGGGCGUAAAGGGUGCGUAGGUGGCGUGGUAAGUCAGAUGUGAAAGCCCGGGGCUCAACCUCGGAACUGCAUCCGAUACUGCCAUGCUAGAGUACUGGAGAGGUGACUAGAAUUCUAGGUGUAGCAGUGAAAUGCGUAGAUAUCGAGAGGAAUACCAAAGGCGUAGGCAGGUCACUGGACAGUUACUGACACUGAGGCACGAAGGCCAGGGGAGCGAACGGGAUUAGAAACCCCAGUAGUCC
rnacentral:rRNA from 1 species